rnacentral:rRNA from 1 species
UACGGAAGAGGCAAGCGUUGUUCGGAAUCAUUGGGCGUAAAGGGCGCGUAGGUGGUUCUGUAUGUCUACCGUGAAAGCGUACGGCUCAACCGUAUUUUGUCGGUGGAAACUGCAGGACUUGAGGCUGGGAGGGGCUGGUGGAAUUCCCUGUGUAGCGGUGAAAUGCGUAGAGAUGGGGGAGAACACUCGUGGCGAAGGCGGCCAGCUAGACCAGUUCUGACACUGAGGCGCGACAGCGUGGGGAGCAAACAGG